rnacentral:rRNA from 1 species
UCUUAUGUACAUGCCUACAGUAUUAAUGCAUCAUACCCCAUUGGGCUAGAGUAGUAGUGGGAUGGGUGACCUCUUGGGAAGUCCUAGUUCUCUCAUAU